rnacentral:rRNA from 1 species
GCUAUCGGGGUCCGACUAAGCCAUGCGAGUUGAGAGGGGUAAGCCCUCGGCAUAUUGCUCAGUAACACGCGGAUAACCUGCCCUUGGGUUUGGGAUAACCCCGGGAAACUGGGACUAAUACCGGAUAGAUCAAAGAAACUGGAAUGUUCUCUGAUCGAAAGCUCCGGCGCCCAAGGAUGGGUCUGCGGCCUAUCAGGUAGUAGUGGGUGUAACGUACCUACUAGCCUACGACGGGUAAGGGUUGUGAGAGCAAGAGCCCUGAGAUGGAUUCUGAGACAUGAAUCCAGGCCCUACGGGGUGCAGCAGGCGCGAAAACUUUACACUGCGGGAAACCGCGAUAAGGGGACCCCGAGUGCCAGCACCUAGUGCUGGCUGUCCAGCUGUUCAAAUAACAGUUGUUAGCAAGGGCCGGGCAAGACCGGUGCCAGCCGCCGCGGUAACACCGGCGGCCCGAGUGGUAGCCGUUAUUAUUGGGUUUAAAGGGUCCGUAGCCGGCCUAUUAAGUCUCUUGGGAAAUCUGGCGACUCAAUCGUCAGGCGUUCAAGAGAUACUGGUAGGCUUGGGACCGGGAGAGGUGGGAGGUACUCCAGGGGUAGGGGUGAAAUCUCGUAAUCCUUGGGGGACCACCGAUGGCGAAGGCAUCCCACCAGAACGGGUCCGACGGUGAGGGACGAAAGCUGGGGGCACGAACCGGAUUAGAUACCCGGGUAGUCCCAGCCGUAAACGAUGCUCGCUAGGUGUCAGGUGCGGUGCGACCGCAUCUGGUGCCGCAGUGAAAACUUGAAGCGAGUCACCUGGGAAGUACGGUCGCAAGGCUGAAACUUAAAGGAAUUGGCGGGGGAGCACUACAACGGGUGGAGCCUGCGGUUCAAUUGGAUUCAACGCCGGA